rnacentral:rRNA from 1 species
AAGCUUUAACUGAAGAGUUUGAUCCUGGCUCAGAGUGAACGCUGGCGGCAGGCCUAACACAUGCAAGUCGA